rnacentral:tRNA from 1 species
GACCUGGUGGCUCAGUGGUAAAGAAUCUGCCUGCAAAGCAGUAGACCUGGGUUCAAUCCCUGGGUCG